UUCCUAGGGGCGCAGCAGUGGGGAAUAUUGCACAAUGGGGGAAACCCUGAUGCAGCGACGCCGCGUGAGUGAAGAAGUGCCCCUGCACGUAAAGCUCUGUCAGCAGGGAAGAAAAUGACGGUACCUGACCAAGAAGCCCCGGCUAACUACGUGCCAGCAGCCGCGGUAAUACGUAGGGGGCAAGCGUUAUCCGGCUUUACUGGUUGUAAAGGGAGCGUAGACGGCAGCGCAAGUCUGGAGUGAAAUCCCGGGGCUCAACCCCGGAACUGCUUUG
rnacentral:rRNA from 1 species